GAGAUGACCAACAUUCCUGCACAGGUUUGCUUUCAAAAUAGACAUUCAUGGCCCCCUUGAGAUGCAACCAGAUGUUUCUUGCAAAUUUUGAUUCAGGCAUUCAUAGCCUAAACAACUUAAUUUUGAAACAGAUACAGAUUAAUAUAUAAGCAGUGUAAAGGAAUAAAAAAUUAUAGAAGUGCAGUCGGUUAGAAUUCUCAUGAUAUCUCAGAUUAACAUAAGUCAACUUUUACAUUUGACACCAAUUACAAAGACAACUGAGUUGAUUCAGUCACAUACUGAGGAGUUCCUUUUCUUAAUAAUUUCUCCUCUUAAUCUAUGUAGUUGUCACACACUUGCACUGAUGAAAUCAAACAUCACAAGGAUCCUUCAGUCCAAAUAAUAUUUAAACUACUGAUACUCGUACUAAUUGUUGCUUAUCAUGAUUUGAUCCUGCAGACAGUGGAUGAGAUUUAUAAG
rnacentral:misc_RNA from 1 species